rnacentral:tRNA from 1 species
GCCCGGGUGGCGGAAAUGGUAGACGCGGCAGACUCAAAAUCUGCUGGCCGCCAAGGCCUUGUGGGUUCGAGUCCCACCCCGGGCAUCA